UACGUAGGGGGCAAGCGUUGUCCGGAAUCAUUGGGCGUAAAGCGCGUGUAGGCGGCCAGGUAAGUCCGUUCUGAAAGCCCGGGGCUCAACCCCGGGAGGCGGAUGGAUACUGCUUGGCUCGAGUCCGGAAGAGGCGAGUGGAAUUCCCGGUGUAGCGGUGAAAUGCGCAGAUAUCGGGAAGAACACCCGUGGCGAAGGCGGUUCUCUGGGACGGUACUGACGCUGAGACGCGAAAGCGUGGGGAGCGAACAGG
rnacentral:rRNA from 1 species